rnacentral:rRNA from 1 species
GGAGGAUGCGAGCGUUAUCCGGAUUUAUUGGGUUUAAAGGGUGCGCAGGCGGAUUUUUAAGUCAGCGGUCAAAUCGUGGGGCUCAACCCCAUCCAGCCGUUGAAACUGGCGGCCUCGAGUGGGCGAGAAGUAUGCGGAAUGCGUGGUGUAGCGGUGAAAUGCAUAGAUAUCACGCAGAACUCCGAUUGCGAAGGCAGCAUACCGGCGCCCUACUGACGCUGAGGCACGAAAGCGUGGGUAUCGAA